AUUGAACGCUGGCGGCAGGCCUAACACAUGCAAGUCGAGCGAGCGGCGGACGGGUGAGUAAUGUAUGGGGAUCUGCCCGAUAGAGGGGGAUAACUACUGGAAACGGUAGCUAAUACCGCAUACUAUCGGAUGAACCCAUCUGGGAUUAGCUAGUAGGUGGGGUAAAGGCUCACCUAGGCGACGAUCUCUAGCUGGUCUGAGAGGAUGAUCCGCCACACUGGGACGGAGACACGGCCAAGACUCCUACGGGAGGCAGCAGUGGGGAAUAUUGCGCAAUGGGCGCAAGCCUGAUUCAGCCAUGCCGCGUGGAUGCAGAAGGCCUUAGGGUGGUAAAGUACUUUCAGCGGGGAGGCGGUACCCGCAGAAGAAGCACCGGUUAACUUCGUGACAGCAGCCGCGGUAAUAC
rnacentral:rRNA from 1 species